GACGAACGCUGGCGGCGUGCCUAAUACAUGCAAGUAGAACGAGUGGCGGACGGGUGAGUAAUGCCUGGGAAACUGCCCGAUGGAGGGGGAUAACUACUGGAAAGGUAGCUAAUACCGCAUACUAUUGGAGCUGCCGAUAUCGGAUUAGCUAGUUGGUGGGGUAACGGCUCACCAAGGCGACGAUCCGUAGCUGGUCUGAGAGGACGACCAGCCACACUGGGACUGAGACACGGCCCAGACUCCUACGGGAGGCAGCAGUGGGGAAUCUUGGACAAUGGGGGAAACCCUGAUGCAGCAAUCCCGCGUGUGUGAUGAAGGCCUUCGGGUUGUAAAGCACUGUUGACAGGAAAGCGGUACCUGCAGAAGAAGGACCGGCUAACUAAGUGCCAGCCGCCGCGGUAAUAC
rnacentral:rRNA from 1 species